rnacentral:SRP_RNA from 1 species
GCCGGGCAUGGUGGCUCAUGCCUGUAAUCCCAGCACUUUGGGAGGCCGAGGCAGGUGGAUCACCUGAGGUCGGGAGUUUGAGACCAGCCCGGCCAACAUGGAGAAACCCUGUCUCUA